GUGCCAGCAGCCGCGGUAAUACAGAGGUCUCGAGCGUUGUUCGGAUUCAUUGGGCGUAAAGGGUGCGUAGGUGGCGCCGUAAGUCGGGUGUGAAAUUUCGGAGCUUAACUCCGAAACUGCAUUCGAUACUGCGGUGCUUGAGGACUGGAGAGGAGACUGGAAUUCAUGGUGUAGCAGUGAAAUGCGUAGAGAUCAUGAGGAAGACCAGUGGCGAAGGCGGGUCUCUGGACAGUUCCUGACACUGAGGCACGAAGGCCAGGGGAGCAAACGGGAUUAGAUACCCCGGUAGUCCUGGCAGUAAACGGUGCACGUUUGGUGUGGGGGGAUUCGACCCCUUCCGCGCCGGAGCUAACGCGUUAAACGUGCCGCCUGGGGAGUACGGUCGCAAGAUUAAAACUCAAAGAAAUUGACGGGGGCCCGCACAAGCGGUGGAGUAUGUGGCUUAAUUCGAUGCAACGCGAAGAACCUUAUCCUGGGUUUGACAUGUACGGAUUAACCCGAUGAAAGUCGGGCCACGCUCGCAAGAGUGGAACGUGCACAGGUGCUGCAUGGCUGUCGUCAGUUCGUGUCGUGAGAUGUCGCGUUAAGUCGCUAAACGAACGCAACCCUUAUCUUUAGUUGCCAGCGAGUCAUGUCGGGGACUCUAAAGAGACUGCCGGUGUCAAACCGGAGGAAGGCGGGGAUGACGUCAAGUCCUCAUGGCCUUUAUGCCCAGGGCUGCACACGUGCUACAAUGGGGCGUACAAAGCGCCGCGAAGUUGCGAAACCAAGCUAAUCGCAAAAAGCGUCCCCCAGUUCGGAUUGCAGGCUGCAAUUCGCCUGCAUGAAGCCGGAAUCGCUAGUAAUCGCCGAUCAGCAUUGCGGCGGUGAAUGUGUUCCUGAGCCUUGCACACACCGCCCGUC
rnacentral:rRNA from 1 species